GACGAACGCUGGCGGCGUGCUUAACACAUGCAAGUCGAGCGGUAAGGCCCUUUCGGGGGUACACGAGCGGCGAACGGGUGAGUAACACGUGGGUGACCUGCCCUCAGCUCUGGGAUAAGCCUGGGAAACCGGGUCUAAUACCGGAUAUGACUCCAUGACGCAUGUUGUGGGGUGGAAAGCCUUGUGCGGCUGAGGAUGGGCCCGCGGCCUAUCAGCUUGUUGGUGGGGUGAUGGCCUACCAAGGCGACGACGGGUAGCCGGCCUGAGAGGGCGACCGGCCACACUGGGACUGAGACACGGCCCAGACUCCUACGGGAGGCAGCAGUGGGGAAUCUUGCACAAUGCCCGAAAGGGUGAUGCAGCAACGCCGCGUGAGGGAUGAAGGCC
rnacentral:rRNA from 1 species